rnacentral:rRNA from 1 species
UACGAACCGUACGAACGUUAUUCGGAAUCACUGGGCUUAAAGAGUGCGUAGGCGGUCAGGAAAGUUGGGUGUGAAAGCCCUCGGCCCAACCGAGGAAUUGCGCCCAAAACUACUUGACUUGAGGGAGACAGAGGUAAGCGGAACUAAUGGUGGAGCGGUGAAAUGCGUUGAUAUCAUUAGGAACACCUGAGGCGAAAGCAGCUUACUGGGUCUCUUCUGACGCUGAGGCACGAAAGCUAGGGGAGCGAACGGG